rnacentral:rRNA from 1 species
AGAGUUUGAUCCUGGCUCAGAACGAACGCUGGCGGCAGGCCUAACACAUGCAAGUCGAGCGCACCCUUCGGGGCGAGCGGCGGACGGGUUAGUAACGCGUGGGAAUGUACCCUUCUCUACGGAAUAGCCUCGGGAAACUGAGAGUAAUACCGUAUACGCCCUUUGGGGGAAAGAUUUAUCGGAGAAGGAUCAGCCCGCGUAAGAUUAGAUAGCUGGUGGGGUAAUGGCCUACCAAGUCUACGAUCUUUAGCUGGUUUUAGAGGAUGAUCAGCAACACUGGGACUGAGACACGGCCCAGACUCCUACGGGAGGCAGCAGUGGGGAAUCUUGGACAAUGGGCGCAAGCCUGAUCCAGCCAUGCCGCGUGUGUGAUGAAGGCCCUAGGGUCGUAAAGCACUUUC